rnacentral:lncRNA from 10 species
UUAUAAAGAGUUUCUUUGGUUUUCUUGUUUGAUUUGCUGGAUGGUCUGUUUGGAAACCAUAUCCAAGAAUUGGAGCAUUAAUUUGAAGAAAGAGGUUCAGAAGUUUCUUUCUGAAUUGUCCUUGAAGCAGAGACAUCCCACAAGAUGAGAAGCACUGGAUGCUCUAAGUCUGACUGUUAGCUAAAAUCUGGCCUUAAGAUUCUCAAACCCUAGAGAGGAGAGACAGAAGCAGAUAAACCUGCAGUUCAAAGCUCGAAGCAAUUUUCCUUCAAAAGCAACACUUUUGAAGCAGACUGUUUCUUUGUUCUGGAAAUACCAUCCAAAUAUACAGUUUUACUAGGUGUGAGGACUGGCAGAUGGCAGGAAGGACAGCAAGGCAAUAAGAAGGGAGCAGGGCAGGGCUGGGGGAAGCUGACAUUGCACAUUGUUCUGUAGAAGUGCGAACAGCUCAGACAGACAUGGAGCAAUCUCCCUGCUGGUCUGGUCACGGAGGAGUCUAAACACGAAGCCCACAUGCUAAGCAUAGGGGGAAGAUGGCCUGCCUGAGGACAGAGGCACCUCCCACAGGGGGUUUCUGAGAAUGGGCCAGGCUUGGAAUCCUUGAGACAGCCGAAUCUAGGAGUUGCAAGUUGUUUUCUGCAUCCGAUAUUUUGUUAUCUCUGGCCCUUCAAUAAAAUCAUGUUAAAAUUGAUAUGGUUUGUCUGUGACCCCACCCAAAUCUCAUCUUGAAUUCCCAUGUGUUGUAGGAGGGACCAAGUGGGAGGUAAUUGAAUCAUGGGGGAAGUCUUUCUGGAGCUGUUCUUGUGAUAGUGAAUUAGUCUCACAAGAUCUGACGGUUUUAAAAAUGGGAGCUUUUCUGCACAAGCUCUCUUUGCCUGCUGCCAUUCACAUAAGAUGUGACUUGCUCCUCCUUGCCUUUGGCCAUGAUUGUGAGGUUUCCCCAGCCAUAUGGAACUGUGAGUUCUCCAUUAA